ensembl:lncRNA
AUGAAUUACAUGUUUGAAAGCAGAUUAGGGCCUAGCUCUCAGCUCUUUGAAGCCCCGAUCUCCCCUAUAGCUGCUUUGUACUGCUGCCUCCGCAUACUGUAUACUUGUAGAGCUGCUUGCCCCCUGCGUCCCCCCUCCCUCGGAGGGCUCAGCUGGCUGCGCCCCGCCACCACCGCGCUCUGCGUCCGCCCGAGCUGCGGGAAGGCAGCGGCCUGUCCCGCCACCGCCACGCUCUGCGUCCGCCCGAGCUGCGGGAAGGCGGCGGCCUGUCCCACCACCGCCACCGCCACGCUCUGCGCCCGCCCGAGCUGCGGGAAGGCAGCGGCCUGUCCCACCACCGCCACCGCCGCACUCUGCGUCCGCCCGAGCUGCGGGAAGGCAGCGGCCUGUCCCGCCACCGCCACGCUCUGCGUCCGCCCGAGCUGCGGGAAGGCAGCGGCCUGUCCCACCACCGCCACGCUCUGCGCCCGCCCGAGCUGCAGGAAGGCGGCGGCCAGCCCCGCCACCACCACGCUCUGCGUCCGCCCGAGCUGCGGGAAGGCGGCGGCCUGUCCCACCACCACCGCCACGCUCUGCGUCCGCCCGAGCUGCGGGAAGGCGGCGGCCUGUCCCACCACCACCACGCUCUGCGUCCGCCCGAGCUGCGGGAAGGCGGCGGCCUGUCCCACCACCGCCACCGCCACGCUCUGCGUCCGCCCGAGCUGCGGGAAGGCAGCGGCCUGUCCCGCCACCACCACCGCCACGCUCUGCGCCCGCCCGAGCUGCGGGAAGGCGGCGGCCUGUCCCACCACCACCAACGCCACGCUCUGCGCCCGCCCGAGCUGCGGGAAGGCAGCGGCCUGUCCCACCACCACCACCGCCACGCUCUGCGCCCGCCCGAGCUGCGGGAAGGCAGCGGCCUGUCCCACCACCGCCGCGCUCUGCGCCCGCCCGAGCUGCGGGAAGGCGGCGGCCUGUCCCGCCACCGCCACGCUCUGCGUCCGCCCGAGCUGCGGGAAGGCAGCGGCCGGCCCCAGCCAGGGCCACGUUCUGCUCCCGACGGCUCCGCACGGGAACGCGCACACCUCCCCAUCGCCUGGGAAGCUGGAGGUGGGCAGCCGUCUCCAGCCCUCCCUUCCCCAGCGCAAGCACGCGGGUGCACCCAUGCACGGCAGGCAAGGGCGCCAACCCAAUUCUACCUACAGAGAAAUUCUGCUUUGCACAAAUUGCUGUGCUAAUUUUAAAUAUUUUCCCAUCGUUGAUAAGUGCUUUCCAAAGCUGGCAGCUCAGAUGGCAGUAGCAAAAAUAUGGACGUGUGAUAUUUAUAUCAAAUCUCAUAUACCCAAAAUAGUCUUUUGA